CGGGACACGUGGUAUCCUGUCUGAAUAUGGGGGGACCAUCCUCCAAGGCUAAAUACUCCUGACUGACCGAUAGUGAACCAGUACCGUGAGGGAAAGGCGAAAAGAACCCCGGCGAGGGGAGUGAAAAAGAACCUGAAACCGUGUACGUACAAGCAGUGGGAGCCUCUUUAUGGGGUGACUGCGUACCUUUUGUAUAAUGGGUCAGCGACUUAUAUUCUGUAGCAAGGUUAACCGAAUAGGGGAGCCGAAGGGAAACCGAGUCUUAACUGGGCGUUAAGUUGCAGGGUAUAGACCCGAAACCCGGUGAUCUAGCCAUGGGCAGGUUGAAGGUUGGGUAACACUAACUGGAGGACCGAACCGACUAAUGUUGAAAAAUUAGCGGAUGACUUGUGGCUGGGGGUGAAAGGCCAAUCAAACCGGGAGAUAGCUGGUUCUCCCCGAAAGCUAUUUAGGUAGCGCCUCGUGAAUUCAUCUCCGGGGGUAGAGCACUGUUUCGGCAAGGGGGUCAUCCCG
rnacentral:rRNA from 1 species